GAGAGUAUAGCUCAGUGGCAGAGUGUGUGCUUAGCAUGCACGAGGUGCUGGGUUCAAUCCCCAGUGCCUCCA
rnacentral:tRNA from 1 species